UUCUAUAAGAGCAGUUUCCAUUCCACAGAGCAUUUUUUUUACUAUGGAACAUUUCCGUCUGAUGCGUAGCAUCUACUUGGUCUGUGUCUGUGUUUUCUUGGUUGUUUUUCUGAAAUGAAAACUUCAAAUUUUAAUCAAAGGGUUAUAAAUUACUAUGAAAACUUGGUGAUAACUUAUUAUAAUAAAGUGACAUAAAUUGCGAAACGUUAUUAGAUAUAACAGAUUGGCCCCGAUUCCUGCAGACACCGCCUAAUUUUAUUUUAGGAAUUAGCACCUAUACGUAUUUUAGAUUUACAUGAAUUAAUGAAGACAAUUUUGUUGAAUUUACUGUCUAAGCUGGCGGAAUUGUGAUAAAAUAUCGUAUUGUGAUUAUUGUUACUGUGCGGCGUCGUAGCGGUCCGGUAGCAGAUAGGUGGUCAACCACUGCCGUGGACAUGGUCUUAGCACAGGAGCCGAUGUGCGUGGAGGGCGCGGGCGGCUCGCACGGCGCGUACGUGGCGUACGUGGCGGCGCUGAGCGGGCGCGCGGGCGCGCGGGCCGGCGUGUGGCGCGAGCAC
rnacentral:lncRNA from 1 species